rnacentral:hammerhead_ribozyme from 1 species
GUCCUGCUGAGGAGUCCCACAAUAGGAUGAAACAGCUGUCCAGUGC